rnacentral:rRNA from 1 species
GAUGAACGCUGGCGGCGUGCCUAAUACAUGCAAGUCGAGCGAAUGGAUUAAGAGCUUGCUCUUAUGAAGUUAGCGGCGGACGGGUGAGUAACACGUGGGUAACCUGCCCAUAAGACUGGGAUAACUCCGGGAAACCGGGGCUAAUAUCGGAUAACAUUUUGAACCGCAUGGGUCGAAAUUGAAAGGCGGCUUCGGCUGUCAAUUAUGGAGGGACCAGCGUCGCAUUAGCUAGUUGGUGAGGUAACGGCUGACCAAGGCAACGAAUGCGUAGCCGACCUGCGAGGGUGAUCGGCCACACUGGGACUGAGACACGGCCCAGACUCCUACGGGAGGCAGCAGUAGGGAAUCUUCCGCAAUGGACGAAUGUCUGACGGAGCAACGCCGCGUGAGUGAUGAAGGCUUUCGGGUCGUAAAACUCUGUUGUUAGGGAAGAACAAGUGCUAGUUGAAUAAGCUGGCACCUUGACGGUACCUAACCAGAAAGCCACGGCUAACUACGUGCCAGCCGCCGCAGUAA